CCUAUUUGUGUAAUACCCACAUUUUACCCGGCCUACAAAAACAGUCCAAAUUACAAUGGGCUUAUGUGGCCUAAAACCCAAACCCAAAUUACAAAAGGGCCUGUAAGGCCCAAAAUAAACAACGGCCCAAACUACAGUGACCCAGGAACACCAGAAACCCUAGGGUUUCUAACCUUUGCGCCGCAGCCACCUAACUCCUCGUGCAGCCAAGACCCAAUUGUACCUGCACAUCAAGCAAUAAACAACAAAAAAGGAAAGGAAAUCAAAUAUUUGCAGAAUCAAAUCGAGCAAAUUCAUUAUUUGAUUCCUAUUUCGGCUAUAAAAAAGCCACCAAUAC
rnacentral:lncRNA from 1 species